rnacentral:rRNA from 1 species
GACGAACGCUGGCGGCGUGCCUAAUACAUGCAAGUCGAACGCACUCUCGUUUAGAUUGAAGGAGUUUGCUCCUGAUUGAUAAACAUUUGAGUGAGUGGCGGACGGGUGAGUAACACGUGGGUAACCUGCCCUAAAGUGGGGGAUAACAUUUGGAAACAGAUGCUAAUACCGCAUAAAACCUAACACCGCACGGUGUAGGGUUGAAAGAUGGUUUCGGCUAUCACUUUAGGAUGGACCCGCGGUGCAUUAGUUAGUUGGUGAGGUAAAGGCUCACCAAGACCGUGAUGCAUAGCCGACCUGAGAGGGUAAUCGGCCACACUGGGACUGAGACACGGCCCAGACUCCUACGGGAGGCAGCAGUAGGGAAUCUUCCACAAUGGACGAAAGUCUGAUGGAGCAACGCCGCGUGAGUGAAGAAGGUUUUCGGAUCGUAAAACUCUGUUGUUGGAGAAGAAUGUAUCUGAUAGUAACUGAUCAGGUAGUGACGGUAUCCAACCAGAAAGCCACGGCUAACUACGUG